AGGGGCCCAACCCUGGGCCUCAGUGGGUGAAGAGUUAGCUUUACCUAAAGAGAGGUGUGGUGUUCGCCUCGGCUCCUGGGAGUUGAUCUCUGGGCCCGUGGAAUGUCCUGCCUAGUAAGAGGGUGGUUGUUUGCCGGGAAGUCUUGGCCUCUGCACACCAUGGCAUGAUGAGUUAUGAUGGAGACUUGGGACACACUACAUCAGUUCUAACCUCCAGGGGUAUAAUCUUGAGACUCCAAGAGGGGCUGGAGGUCAGAGGUCAGCCCCACGGGCAGUUCAUGAUGGAGACUCAAUCAAAACCAUGCACCCCAGAGGCUGCCCUGCUUGGCAGUGCCCUGUGCGUAAGGUCACGGGCGGGAGAAGGUAAUGCCGACCACGAGACCCUGGGAAGAGGGAGGUGAUGGAACAGAGCCUAGGAGCCAGGACCAGCUCCCCACAAAUCACCAAGUUCCAAAGUCCAGUUCCAAAGUGUUGAGAAUUCUGAAUUUGAACCUGGCCUUUGAGAUGGUUAUGAAGGCCUUUUUUUUUUUUUUUUUGGUUUUUUUCCUCCAAAGCAGCAAGACAGAACAUAUUUUCUUUAAGGUAACAGGUUGUUAGCCUGAUUUAUUGCCUUUAAGUAUCUAGGCAGAUGGUGUGCAUGCCUGUGUGUUCUUGCCCCAGGCUCUGAAGCAUUCGGAGCCAGUCUGUUGCUAAUUGUCAGAAUUUCACUUUUCUUGACGGUACUCUUAAGAGAGGUUGCUGAAGGUUAGCAAAGCAUCACAUCUAAAUUUUCUCAGAACAUCUUGAAAUGUACAUAGCAGGAUGCUAACGUGGAAUUUCAUUUGUUUCAUUUUCUGCUGCGAUGCCCAAUGGCUGAGAAAAAAAUCAAACCAUAAGUGCUGAGUGUCCCCACCUUCCAAAGUGAAGUGUGAGACCACCGCUCCGGGUACCUGCGGCUGCAUAACCAGGGUCACCAAAACUCAGAGGAGUGCUCAAAACCACCACCCAGUGGAAGAAAUUAACUACUUGAUGAUCAUGAGCACAUGGCCCCCAGACCGUCUGACCUCUGAGGAUUGAUCACCAGCAACCAGAAAAUUAUGCACAGCUGAACACAGACCCUGGGCUUCCCCUCCCUCAGGUGGCCUUUAAAAAUGCUCAGCUGAAACCUUUUGGGGAGUUCAGGGUUUUAGAGGCAUGAGCUGCCCAUCCUCCUUGCUCAGCCACCAAUAGAUCAUUCUCUGCUCCAAUCUUCAACAUUUCAGUGUUUUCUGGCCUCACUGUGCAUCAGGUGCACAAACUUGCAUUUGGUGACAGUUUGGUGAAAUCAGCCUGGGAGUCUGUGCCCGUGGGAGGUCAGCCCGGCCAAGGCUGCACCUUCCUGGGCCCCAGCAGCGGCCGGGGCGCACACCAUUCCGAGAACCAGGAGGGACUCUCCCCGACAGGCCACCCCAGCAUGAGGCUUUCUGGAGCCAAGAACCAUCCGGAGCUGCAUCCACACUCGGUGUCACUCAUAGGUGAGUGGCUCCAGCUCGCACGGACUGGGAAUUCUCUCCAUCCUUCUGGGUUCGUUCCCCCUGGGAAGUGAGCUGCUCUGGGCUCAUCAUGAGCCACUCUGGGUCCGUUCUCUCCCGGAGCUGGGCCCGUCUGUGCGGAGGCCUCCUUCUAGGAGUGGAGGGGGUAGUUUUAGACGCCACCUCCUCUGGCUGUCUGUCUGUGCGACCGCAGCUUGUUUGUUGCUUGUGUUGUCGUGAGCAUCACUGUGGGGUGAGCCGCUCCGGCUUGUACAGGAUGGAGAAUCCACCCACGCCCCUUGGGCUUGUUCCUGCCCGGGAAGUGAGUCAUUCUGGCCUCACUGGGAGCCACGCUGGGUCCAUACUUUUUUGGGAGUCAGGCCACUCUGUAGGCCUCUGUCUGGCACUGGGAGGAAUUUUUGAGGCUCCAUCUCAUCUGAUCUUUGGUUUGUGGGACCGUGUAUGUGUGUGUGUGUGUGUGUGUGUGUGUGUGUAUCAGUACUUGCACUGGCCGGUUGAGACGUCUUUGGUGAGUACCGGGGCUCACGUGCGAUGGCACCAGGGCACCCUCCCUACUGCGCUGGCUUCUCCCCAGGGGGAGUGUUGGUUGGAGUGUUCCCUUUCUAGCCUCGGUCCUUCAUUCAGUUUCAUCUCUGAUGGGGCGGGCACUGGUUGGGAAAUUCCCUUUUUGGAGUCUGGGAAACUGUGACCCAGACAGACCGUUUCGAAUUGUUGUUUGCUUGGUGUGUGUGGGGGUCUUGGUAUCUGAGUCCAAAUCCUGUUAUCUCUUCCUGGUUUGGCUGAACAUGAAGGAUGUGAAUGUGAGCAAAUGACAUAUAUUAUUGUCUAUUACUGUUAUUUCUUUAAACUGAAGUGGAUGUUUGGGAACUGGGGGAAAAAAUCCCUGAAAAUAGCCAAGAUGGUUGGGUUUUGUAAAAGCAGAGGAGGAGUUUGCAUUCCUCUUUCUGUGCCUUUGAGAUGCAGGUGGCCUACCUGGGCUUUCAAGGGAAAAAAAGAAAAGAGGUUUUUUUUAAACUCCAGCAUAAAAAAAAA